AUUGAACGCUGGUGGCAUGCUUUACACAUGCAAGUCGAACGGUAACAGGCCUUCGGGUGCUGACGAGUGGCGCACGGGUGCGUAAUGCAUCGGAACGUGCCCAGAGGUGGGGGAUAACGCAGCGAAAGCUGUGCUAAUACCGCAUGUGAUCUGAGGAUGAAAGCGGGGGACCAAGCAGCAAUGUUUGGCCUCGCGCCUCUGGAGCGGCCGAUGUCAGAUUAGGUAGUUGGUGGGGUAAAGGCCUACCAAGCCGACGAUCUGUAGCUGGUCUGAGAGGACGACCAGCCACACUGGGACUGAGACACGGCCCAGACUCCUACGGGAGGCAGCAGUGGGGAAUUUUGGACAAUGGGCGCAAGCCUGAUCCAGCAAUGCCGCGUGCGGGAAGAAGGCCUUCGGGUUGUAAACCGCUUUUGUACGGAACGAAAAGGCUCUGGCUAAUACCUGGGGCUGAUGACGGUACCGUAAGAAUAAGCACCGGCUAACUACGUG
rnacentral:rRNA from 1 species